rnacentral:misc_RNA from 1 species
UCUCCGUUGGUGAACCAGCGGAGGGAUCAUCACCGAGUUUACAACUCCCAAACCCCUAUGUGAACGUUACCAAACUGUUGCCUCGGCGGGAAAUUCAUGCCCCGGGCGCGUCGCAGCCCCGGACCAAGGCGCCCGCCGGAGGACCAACCAAAACUCUUUUGUAUGUCCCUCGCGGACUUUUAUAAUUCUGAACCAUCUCGGCGCCCCUAGCGGGCGUUUCGAAAAUGAAUCAAAACUUUCAACAACGGAUCUCUUGGUUCUG